UUCGAAGCAACGCGAAGAACCUUACCAGGCCUUGGCAUGCAGAGAACUUUCCAGAGAUGGAUUGGUGCCUUCGGGAACUCUGACACAGGUGCUGCAUGGCUGUCGUCAGCUCGUGUCGUGAGAUGUUGGGUUAAGUCCCGUAACGAGCGCAACCCUUGUCCUUAGUUACCAGCACGUUAUGGUGGGCACUCUAAGGAGACUGCCGGUGACAAACCGGAGGAAGGUGGGGAUGACGUCAAGUCAUCAUGGCUCUUACGGCCUGGGCUACACACGUGCUACAAUGGUCGGUACAAAGGGUUGCCAAGCCGCGAGGUGGAGCUAAUCCCAUAAAACCGAUCGUAGUCCGGAUCGCAGUCUGCAACUCGACUGCGUGAAGUCGGAAUCGCUAGUAAUCGUGAAUCAGAAUGUCACGGUGAAUACGUUCCCGGGCCUU
rnacentral:rRNA from 1 species